UAGGGAAUCUUCCACAAUGGACGCAAGUCUGAUGGAGCAACGCCGCGUGAGUGAAGAAGGUUUUCGGAUCGUAAAGCUCUGUUGUGGGUGAAGAAGGAUAGAGGCAGUAACUGGUCUUUAUUUGACGGUAAUCAACCAGAAAGUCACGGAUAACUACGUGCCAGCAGCCGCGGUAAUACGUAGGUGGCAAGCGUUGUCCGGAUUUAGUGGGCGUAAAGCGAGCGCAGGCGGAAUGAUAAGUCUGAUGUGAAAGCCCACGGCUCAACCGUGGAACUGCAUCGGAAACUGUCAUUCUUGAGUGCAGAAGAGGAGAGUGGAAUUCCAUGUGUAGCGGUGGAAUGCGUAGAUAUAUGGAAGAACACCAGUGGCGAAGGCGGCUCUCUGGUCUGCAACUGACGCUGAGGCUCGAAAGCAUGGGUAGCGAACAGG
rnacentral:rRNA from 1 species